rnacentral:rRNA from 1 species
CCUAGGGGGGCAGCAGUGGGGAAUAUUGGACAAUGGGCGAAAGCCUGAUCCAGCCAUGCCGCGUGUGUGAAGAAGGCCUUCGGGUUGUAAAGCACUUUCAGUGGGGAAGAAAGCCUUGGGGCUAAUACCCUCGAGGAAGGACAUCACCCACAGAAGAAGCACCGGCUAACUCCGUGCCAGCAGCCGCGGUAAUACGGAGGGUGCGAGCGUUAAUCGGAAUUACUGGGCGUAAAGCGCGCGUAGGCGGUCUGAUAAGCCGGUUGUGAAAGCCCCGGGCUCAACCUGGGAACGGCAUCCGGAACUGUCAGGCUAGAGUGCAGGAGAGGAAGGUAGAAUUCCCGGUGUAGCGGUGAAAUGCGUAGAGAUCGGGAGGAAUACCAGUGGCGAAGGCGGUCUUCUGGACUGACACUGACGCUGAGGUGCGAAAGCGUGGGUAGCAAACAGGAUUAGAUACCCGGGUAGUC